UUUCGCUGUUUUGGAAAGAACAAUCGAGCAAUACAAUUGGAUUAUAGUAGCUUUUACAUUAAACGAGGUGAGGCAAGAAAAUAGGUAUUGGAAUUUAAUCCACAUUCACUCACUUGAUGUCCAUUGAAAGCUGUUACCCAGAUCAUUCCUUCAUUAUCAAUUGUCAUACCAUCGGGUACUCCUGGAACCCUUGCUUCAGUGAAAUUAAAUAUCAACGCUCGAUUACCUGAAAAGACAUGAUUUUAAAGUUUGGAUUUUCAUCGUCACAAGUAUGUUAAGAAAAUUUUAAUUUCAGUACAGCUUCGUAUAAAAAAAUAACCUAUUCUGAUUUAAACAAAUAGAGUGAAGCAAGAUGUCUUACCGACUUUCGCAAAUGUAUGCCUCUUCUUUUUUGGUUCAUAUCUAUGAACUACUGAAUUAUACACGUCCACAAAAAAAAGUGUUCCCGUUCCUCGAUGUGGGUCCCAAUGUGGUGCUUUUGGAAGCUCGACUGGUCCUAAAAUUGCAACUGGUCUGUAAUCGUCCUGAAAAUUGAACGAUAUAAAACUGAUGAAUUGGAUCGACGUUUAAUUAUAUGGAGGAGGUUAAUGAUUGUUUAUUGUUUUCUGUUCGUAUAGAAGUAUCUACUUGCACAAAUCAGAAUCAUCUGAACUAUAGUCAAGUGUCAGGUUCUUUGUACAUAUUUUUAUCAAUCGAAUGAUUAAUUAUCAUUGAUAAAAUUCAUUGCACGUGGUCCUUCUAUACUUUCAUAUUCUGUAGAAAAAGCGCCAUUUGCAUCAUCCCGGGAAUUCCCAAACCAGUUUUUCUUAAGAAAUGAGAACAACAUAAUUCUUUAUUACAGCUCCAUCGUCACUUCUCAUAUUCUUCAUCACAACCUCAUUUCAGAAAGCAAGAAUAAAAUGAGAUCGUAUUAAUUUUGCGCACACAAAGCACUUUUUUUUGAAUGGGGAAAAACUGAGGCCCUUUUUUUAAAUGAGAAAUGAAAUUAGUGGGUAUUUUCAAGGUUCAAUCAAUCAAAAAAAAAAAAAAAAAUCAAGAAGGACUGAACGAUUGAAUUUUCUAAAAUUGUCCUUUAUUUUUCUAUUUGUUACCUUUUUUAUCGUCUUUAUACCUACUUUUAUUUUGGCUAGGAAACUAUCUAACAGAAAAUGAAGGAUCUUACGGAAAUUUGAAUUUUUCAAAAUUGUCCAAAAAUAACACAAAUAACACAAAUGGGUAAAAAAAAUUGAAUUCCCAUUUCACGUUUAUAGACCAAAUUUUUGCAUUCGUGAGAAUUACCUAUGUCGUAAAUAUUAUUUAAAUGCCCUAAUUUUUUGAAAGAAAAAAAAACCUCAAAAUUUCGAAAUGGGCAAUAGGCAGCUAAAUUCAUUUUUAGGUAACAUUUCUACAGCCAAAAACGUGUACUGGGCAUCGUUUUGAAUACUCCUUUGACAUCAUUUAAUUUGAAAGAGUAAUUUUUUAGGCAAAUUUUCUUGUCAAAAAAAUGUGCUAAAAUGUCAAAAAAAAGUGAUUGGACAACUACAACUCUGAAAAUUUUCAUCUAGGUUCUAGGUCAUAUUCUUACUACCAGUAUCAUUGUUGUGCUUGGAAAUUUGAAGGAUUUCUGUCGUGAAGUCUGCCGGAGACUCUAGAACUGCUCAAAACGGUUUAAAACCAUUUCCAAUCGAUUGGCAGGUCGAAAAUAGGGUAUAUGGUAUAGGUAUCUAAAAUUUCAGCUUUCUAGAUGAAUUUGGUAAAAUUCUGAUUUUUUUCAAUUUUUUCUCACUUUUUGAUUUUUUUAAUUCACCAAAAAUUUCGACUCCGAAAACCUCUUAAAAAACAUAAUGUUGUCCCAAUUCACCUCAGACGAUGUUGAAGUUGGUCAAAAUAGGUAAAUAACUGGUUGUCCGAAUAGUUCAAGAGCUAUACCACUGCGAUUGGGCCGAAAUAACUGAAAGCUGGGGAUAGUCUUAAAAGUUAGCAUACAUACCCCUAUUUUGAAAACACUUGGUCUGCCGAUCCGCAGCUGCUGCUUUGAAGCUCAGUGAAAGCUCGAAAGUUCAAAAUUUUUCUGAACUUUCAGCUGAGAAAACUGAUGGCUAAAAUUGGUGCCUAAUUAUAGCAUUUUUCGCGCUGAAUCCGAAUAUAUCGGUCUGCCGACCCAUAAGUGCCGCCAAAGCCCCGCCAGACUGGGUCAAAAGGGGAGCAAAUUUGACAAAUUUCAUUUUUUUGGGCUAAAUUCUCAUAAAAAGCUACAAAAUCGGGUUAAAAAUUAUUUUCAAGCAGUUUAACGGAAUGCUCUAUGGCUAAAAUGAUUUUUAGGCACCAAAAUUUUUCAAAAUUUUCAUUUUUUGGGGGGUGGAGCAUGGGGAAGUAUCAAUGAAUUCAGCAAAUAUGGCUUUGUGAUGCAUCAAAAUAUAUGUUUUUUGGGUCGUAGAAUUCAAUGAUGGCAAUAUUUUUCACAUUGGAGGACAAUACGGCCAAAAAACAUAUAUUUUGAUGUAUCACAAAGCCAUAUUUGCUAAAUUCAUUAAUAAUCCCCUCACGCCCCACCCCUCGAAAAACGAAAAUUUUGAAAAAUGUUGGUGUCUAAAAAUCAUCUUAGCCAUAGAGCAUUCCGUUAAACUGCUUGAAAAUAAUUUUUAACCCGAUUUUGUAGCUUUUUAUGAAAGUUUAGCCCAAAAACAUGAAAUUUGUCUUUGCUCCCCUUUUGAUACAGUCUGGCGGGGCUUUGGUGGCACUUGUGGGUCGGCAGACCGAUAUAUUCGGAUUCAGCGCGAAAAAUGCUAUAAUUAGGCACCAAUUUUAGCCAUCAGUUUUCUCAGCUGAAAGUUCAGAAAAAUUUUGAACUUUCGAGCUUUCACUGAGCUUCAAAGCAGCAGCUGCGGAUCGGCAGACCAAGUGUUUUCAAAAUAGGGGUAUGUAUACUAACUUUUGAGACCAUCCCCAGCUGGUAUAGCUCUUGGACUAGAAUUCACCCCGACUUCAGGGUGAAGUCGGACAAAUUUCAACUAAAAAAAAAAGAUUCAAACAGGUGACCAACAUUUUAUUCAAAAAUCACCACUUGUAGAAGAGUCUUGAGGCUUUAAAAUGAGCCAUCUCCCACUUUUCUAUCUUAAUAAUCUAAAAAGUUGGAGCCAAAAAACCUGGAAAAACGGCCAACUUCACCCUAUUUGCCAGUUCUCAAAUUUUUUUUAAUCUUUCAAAAAAAAACAUUACAAUAUUUCCUGCAAUUCUUGUCGUCUGAGAAUUACUUACAGGAAAUAUUUCAAAAAUAUUUUUCAACAAUUCAAAAAUUUUUUUUAAAAUUCAAAAUUCCAAUUUUUGCUCAAAGUAUAUUCCGAAAAUGAGUAUUCCAAUGCGAGAAUUAAGUAGGUACCUAUUUAAAACCACACUUCUCCGAUUAGAAAUUUUUAUGCUCUACAAUUUUGUUUCUCUCUACUUGUUUGAUUUUAUUUUAUUUUUUCGUUACUUGAAUGUUUUAUUAGUUUUUUUAUUCUUUUAUUUUUCAAAAAACCGUUUUUAUGCGAAGAAAAAAUUUUAAAAGUCCAAAUUUACCAUCAAAAAUGUAUCUAAAAUGAAUUUUCCAACUUUUUUUUUCAAAAAAAAAAAAAAAAACUCUAGGAAAAAAUGAAUUACAUUCUAUCCACUGCUGGAAACCGUUGUGCUCUAUUUUUGAAUUUUUUCCCUCCUUAAAAAAUCGAUUUUUUUAUAAAAAUGGAGUAGAGAGUGACAAUUUUUAUCAGCUGCAGAGUGUGAUUCAAAUUCAAAUUGUAUAUUUGAGAUACAUGCGGCAGCAAAGCUGCCAUUAUAUCACGUUGAGCAUUACAUAAUUGAAAACUGUAAACAUUUUUGAUUACUUAUCUACGUAUAAGAUACAAUUUUCAGAUUUAAAUAAAAUAAAAGGCAUGAUUAAAACAUAAAAAGAUGAAGAUUUGAAACUAUACAUACAAAAUCAAAAUUCAAGCGAUUAUUGAUCAGAGCAGCUAAGAUAUUCCUCCAGGGUGUAAAAAGCACUAUUGAUCAGCCAUUCUUUGAGAGCAAUUUUAAAUUUUUUUGCAGUUGGCUGGUUUUUAACACUCCCUGGAAUCCGAUUGUAUACUUUUGCUGCAGAUGAUACAGCACUACACUGGAGAAGUUUUGUACGGUGGUGGGGAGUUCUAAGGUUACCUAGUGAUCUUGUGCUAUAUGGAUGGGUAAUUUUUGGAAAGGUUAUAACCUUAGUAUAAACCAUGAGAGAUAUGUCCAAAAUAUAUUGUGAUAUUGUAGUGAGGAUUUUAUUAUCAACAAAGAUGGGCCUGCAUGUUUGUCUUAGAGGUAUUUUAUAAAUUGUUCUUAUCGCACGUUUUUGUAGUGUGAGAAUUUGCUUGACAUAUGAUGCAUUACCUCCCCAAAAAACCACCCCAUAGGCCAAUGUAGAGUGGAAUAGUCCAAAAUAUGCAAGUCUGAGAGUUUUUUGAUUUGUAAUUUGUCUUAGCUGAAAGAGUAGAAAGUUUAUAGAUGACAAACGACAGGUUAAUUUAUUAAUGUAUACAUCCCAUUUUAAAUUGCAUUGAACAUCAACCCCUAAAAAUUUUGCAACACUAGAAACAUUUGGUAGAGGCGAGAGAGUUUUUGCUACCAGGUUGGCCUCCUUGGGGGUUACAUUAAAAGGCACUGUCACUGUUUUUUCCAAGUUCAAGCUCAUGCCAUUUGCAUUAAACCAAGAAAUUAAGUUUUGGAGAACAUGUUGUGUUGUUUUUAGUAGUGAGUCCCAGCUACUUAUUUUUGAAAUAGGUACCUAUACAUAUUUUGAGCAAAAAUUGGGAAACUUAUUGUUAUUGAACGACACAUACCAGGGUACUUCAUAAGACCUUAGCACCUAAUUAUGAGAAGAUUAUCUGAAGAAAAGGACAAAUGGUACCUACAUGUACAACUAAUCUAGGCAAUUUUUUAAACCAAAUAUAAACGAAAUAGGCACGUGAAAAAUUGCCUGAGAAAUUUUCCGCCAAAAACAUAUUUGAAAAAAAAACUGCAUAGAUACCUUAUUUAUAAUGAUUUUUUUUUUAAAUUGUCAUUUUUCGCAUUCAAAUGUGUAAUUUGAUAACACCGGAACGGACCAUGAGUCCAAGGACAACCAAUGAUUAUAACCUGUUAUCAACAGUCUAACCAUAGUUCGGUAAUAUGAAAUUGUAUUCAUCUUAUCACACGAGAAACAAUUUUUUCUAUUUGAAUUCACUGCUAAAUAUUUAUCUUAGCUUUACAAAGAACAAUGACAUCGUAUAAAACAUAUAGGUACGCAAACGUUACAUUGAAAUAAAAUUCACCUGAAUGCCUAUUAUAGGUAUUAUAUUAUAAUCUCAAUGAAACGUGUCGUACAUUCAAAAUAGACGAAGCUAUUGAAAAAUACAAUGUAUUAUUUGCCUACCUGUUGUUUAUUCCGCAGCAUAAAUCCAGCAAUCAAUAUGGCAAUCGCGAUGACACCGGUAAGGAUAAUUAACAAUACUUUUUUGGUCAACAUUUUAGCAACGAUUAUAAGUAAAAUAGGAACUGUAUUAAAAAUAAUUCGACGUUAAAAACCUAAAAAAAAUUUAGCUGGUCUUAAAACCGGUUCGCGAUCGCUGGAACCUUCACAGAAACAUAGUAUAGUACAGAUACUCGUGUCUCGUAUUACGUAACAGAAAAAAUCAGACUGACAACGUCCCUACCAACUUUACUUACACGUUAAUUAAAACAAACACGUAAAUUUAAAAUCGCUACAGUGAAAAAGUCAGAGUCAGAUAAUUAUUGAAUAUGAAUCUACAUACGUUAGGACAACUGAUUCGAACUUUUAUGUUAUCAGAAUUAUUUCGCCGGCGCCGACGAUAACAAGUAGCGAAGAAAAAAAUGAAUUCCGAGACGAAUUCAGUUCGCAAAUUUUUUAGUUUAUAUAUCGAUGGCGUAUGCUUUCGAGUACUCCGCUGCUAAUCCCAUUUAUUUACACGAAUUGCGGUAUUCCCCCCCCCCUAUAAUGGCCCACCAAAUUGAAGCCCAGUCUUACGACGAGCUAUAGUUUAUAUACCUACUAUGUAGCGUAUGGUAUGUUGGUCAACGUUGAUGAUGCUUUUUUUUAAUAUACACAAACGAAAAUAGUUUUUCCUUCAAUGAAACAUUCCGAUUACGUAAUAUGGCGUAUAUUUUAUCCGAAAAUUACAUUUUACUAAAAAUAAGACGUGUAAAAGCUCGUAUAUAGGUGUACUUCGAUUUUGACGAUUUUGGUAUCACAGAAAUUUUGGUAACGAAAUGGAAUUUGGAUUUGAAAACUUGCGAGAUGUAGGUAAAUGGGGUUAGAAAAUUUACAGCUAUUUAUUGUCUGGACAGAAUGCUCGGCAGCGUAGACCUUUAAUGGAACCUAGAUUCGUAAGACGGAAGAAAUAACCCGAUUUUGGGUACCGUUCUAGUUCUUCUUCGGUUAAUCUGUAUCGUCCUGUGGUUACGUACAUUUCACGUAGAAAUGAUGUGGCGAAACAUGACGAUGUGAUUACGCUUGCUUCGAAUUUCACUCGUAGUAUUUCUUUUUUCUCGUGUUGACAGACUCGAAUCAUCUGCAAAUGAUUAAGCACAUAGGUAUACAAAUUUUUCAAUUGAUAUAUCAACAAUUAGACAUUUUUUUUUGUAACAGGCUCUAUUUUUAAAUUACGUAUUUUGUUUUUCGAUUUUAAAAAUUGAAAUUUUUGCUCAAAAUAUUUUUAAAGAUUGAAAAUAUUUAGAAAUUGGGUAAAAAUUUUGUUACCUCGUAAUUAAAAUUAUUUAAAAAUAUUUCGUCUCAGAUGUAACUACUUGAUUUUUAGUUGAAAAUCCCCUCCCCCCCCCCCUAAAAAGAAAUUUAAGCUCGAAGGCGUUUCUAGAACCUCAAAAAUAUCAACUUUUGAAUGUAGAACAUUUCUUCCAAAAUAGUUUGAGUGGCUUUGCUUUGCUUUUUCAUUUUUUAAAGUUUUUUUGUGUGGUUUUUGUUUUGCUUUUUUACGCAUAAAAAUGGUAAAGUUUUACAGACAAAA